UGCCAGCCGCCGCGGUAAUACGAAUGGAUCACGCGUUGUUCGGAAUCACUGGGCUUAAAGCGUAUGUAGGCGGACCAGAAAGUCAGGAGUGAAAGCCUGGGGCUCAACCCCAGAACUGCUCUUGAAACUUCUGGUCUAGAAUACUGGAGAGGUUGGGAGAAUUCCGAGUGUAGAGGUGAAAUUCGCAGAUAUUCGGAGGAAUACCAGUGGCGUAGGCGCCCAACUGGACAGUUAUUGACGCUCAGAUACGAAAGCGUGGGUAGCGAACAGGAUUAGAUA
rnacentral:rRNA from 1 species